CAAUAAUCCAAAUACUCUCAACAUUUUCCAUCACCUACUUCUCUAGAUUCGAGGUAAUGUCUUUUAUCGGCGCGUGGACGUCACGUAUCAGAUUUUCAGUAUAACUUUGUUUCAGGCUACAAGCUCUGAGAUAGUCCCAGAUCCAUAAACUUGUGGCAUCUGAAUCGCCUCUCUGUUUUUUCUCUUUUUCAACUUUGAAAAUUCUGAUAAAUUAUUAUGAGGUGUGUAAAUAAUAAUAUUUCGCUUAGUUAUCCCGUUACAUUUGCAGAUGGAAGGCAAGAUGAUUCCAGUUCUAAGGAAUAUCUUGCCAGAUUUAAAGGAAUGAUUCUUACCUGCAAUGGGCUUGGUAUUAGUCUUACAUCGACAUGGACACAACUAACAGAAACAAAUGAAUGUGCUGAAGAAGGUUAGCUCGUAUUUAAAAUUUACGAAGAUUGCCAUCCUUAUUUCCGAGUAACUCGGGACUAUUGGUGAAUUUAAGAAUGCCAAUACCUUGUGAGUAAACGAUUCCAAUCUUUUAUCUACUUGUCAAACAUGAAUGUAUCUCAUCUUCUUGGUAUUAUUACAUCUUUAUCCGAAAGUAAAAAGAGAUUUGUGAUGGUGAUGUGAGAUGUGUUGGAAUGAGGCAUGAUUUUUUAAUAGCGUAACCGA